rnacentral:lncRNA from 10 species
AUGGCCUACUGUGCGAUUUCACCUGGUGAUCAGCCUGCUGCCUGGAAUGCAUAUGUGAUGGCUGGAAUGCUAGCUCUAAUUUUGGAUCAUGAGGAAAAGUGCCACACCAUUGGAGAUGAGGGAUGAGCUGGAAGGGGGCCUGUGGCAGGGGAUCAUGUCCUGGGACAUACCAAGAGAGCAGCUUCUAGAGGACUGAUUAUCAGAGAGGAACUGGAAUGUGAAAAGACGUCUAACUAACCAUUAUUAAUGAUUCACUUGUAAUUUUCACUAAUGGAUGACCCACAUGAUUUCCUCUUCAAAGAAUUUGUCCAAAGCCACCCAUUUAAA